AGAAACAAGCAGAUGCUCCUGAAUUUAAUAAUACUAAGGUUCUCAAUUUCUGAGGGCCAAUAAACAAAGAGAUUGUAAAGCAAAGGGCAGGUUGAGCGAAAAGAAAGGAACUUAAUUGUUGUUGCAAUAUUUCACUGUCUAGCCACACGAUUCUUAUUGUGGCUGGGCAUCCUCGUUUUCCCGAACAAACAUGCCCCUGGUCCUGACAGUGCAUCGAUUUUGCUU
rnacentral:lncRNA from 1 species